UACGUAGGGUGCAAGCGUUGUCCGGAAUUAUUGGGCGUAAAGAGCUCGUAGGCGGCUCGGUAAGUCGGAUGUGAAACCUCCAGGCUCAACCUGGAGACGCCAUCUGAUACUGCCGUGGCUUGAGUCCGGUAGAGGAAAGUGGAAUUCCUGGUGUAGCGGUGAAAUGCGUAGAUAUCAGGAGGAACACCGGUGGUGUAGACGGCUUUCUGGACCGUAACUGACGCUGAGACACGAAAGCGUGGGGAGCGAACAGG
rnacentral:rRNA from 1 species